GGGGAUUUAGCUCAGCGGUAUAAGUGCCUGCCUUGCAAGCAGGCAGUCAAGCGUUCGAUCCCCG
rnacentral:tRNA from 1 species